AUGGUGAUAGCGGCUCGGCCGUGGCUGAGGCUCCUGCUCGGCCUCGCCGUCGCCGCCGGCGUACUUCAAGUCCGCGGCCAGCGAACGCCUAGUAUCACAGGCUUCAUCAGCAUAGACUGCGGGCUGCCGGAGCAGAGCGGCUACGUGGACGCCGCCACCAAGAUACCGUACACCUCCGACGCCGGGUUCACGGACGCCGGCUCCAACCGCGACAUCUCCGCCGUGAACAUGGAUCCACGCAUGUCACGAACCCACCUCAACAUGCGCAGCUUCCCGGACACGGCCCGGGGCUGCUACACCCUGCCGUCCCUCACGCCGGGGUCCAAGUACCUGGUCCGCGCCACCUUCAGGUACGGCGACUACGACGGGCUCAGCAAGCUCCCCGCCUUCAACCUCUACCUCGGCGUCAACUUCUGGCGGACGGUGAACAUGUCCAAGGUCGACGCGGUGGUGGUCGCCAAGGCCAUCACCGUGAUCCCCGACGACUCGGUGCAGGUCUGCCUGGUGAACGUCGGCGCCGGGACGCCGUUCAUCUCGGCGCUGGCGCUGAGGCCUCUCGAGAACUCGCUGUAUCCGCAGGCGAACGCGACGCAGGGGCUGGUCCUGAUCGGCAGGCGCAGCCUGGGUGCCACGGGCGUGUUGCCUGUCAGGUACCCGGACGAUCCGUACGACCGGGCUUGGCUGCCGUGGAGCGACCCGGAGGUGUGGACGGACAUCUCAACGACGGAGAAGGUCCGGGAGACUAUCGGCAACCUCCGCUUCCAUGUGCCGUCCGCCGUAAUGCAGACUGCCAUCAUCGCGCGCAACGACUCCAGGAACAAGACCAUCGACUUCUCGUGGGUCACCGAGCCAAACCACGCCUACCCACUGCCCGGGUGCAUUGGUAUCUUGUACGUCGCCGAGCUGCAGAUCCUAGCCAGUAAUGAUAUGCGCGAGUUCAACGUCAUUGCCAACGGCAAGAAGAAUAAGCUCCCGUACACGCUCGAGUACCUCUUCGCCGACGCCAUAUCUAACAGGGAACCACAUCAUGGGUACAACCAAUACAACUACACCAUGAUCGCCACUGCCAACUCGACACUGCCACCGAUCAUCAAUGCCUUCGAGUUUUUCUCGGUCAUCUCCACAGCCAACGUUGGAACAGACAGUCAGGAUGUUUUUGCCAUCAACGCAAUCAAGGCUAAGUACCAUGUGAAGAAGAAUUGGAUGGGUGACCCGUGCGCUCCCAAGAAUUUUGCGUGGGAGGGAUUGACCUGUAGCUAUGCUAUUUCUGGGCGUCCAAGAAUUACAAGCAUAAAUAUGUCAUCUGGCGGUUUGAGCAGCGAUAUAUCACCUUAUUUCGCUGACAUCAAAGAUCUCCAGUAUUUGGAUUUAUCGAACAAUAAAUUAACAGGAUCAAUUCCUAAUGUCCUUUCACGACUACCCGCUCUCGUGGUUCUAGAUUUGACUGGCCACCAGCUUAGUGGAUCAAUUCCUUCCGGGCUUCUGAAGAGAACUCAGGGUGGUUCUCUAGCUAUUAGAUAUGGCAACAAUCCAAACCUUUGUAGCAACAACAGUUACUGCCAGCUUACAAAAAGGAAGAGCAACUCUAUGCUUACCGUGUAUAUUGUUGUUCCCGUAUUUGUAGUUCUGCUGAUAGGAGCACUUGUAGUACUACUGAUCUUCAGAGUGAGAAAAAGGAAAGAAUGAAUAGUUUUUGCUCAAAAAGAGUGGAAGGUAAUGUUAUUUUCAUUCUUGAAAUUUGAAGGAUUGGCGAGGGAAGGCAAUGGACAUGGACAUAACCGCCAGUUCACGUAUAGGGAGCUGAAGGUCAUAACGGACAACUUCAAGGUAGUGCUCGGCCAAGGUGGGUUCGGCACUGUUUAUGACGGCUUCUUGGAUGAUGGUACUCACGUCGCAGUCAAGUUGUUGUCUCAGUCUUCCAGUCAAGGUAUCAAAGAGUUCUCGACAGAGGCUCAGACAUUGACGAAGAUCCAUCACAAGAAUCUUAUAUCCUUGAUUGGUUACUGCAAAGAUGGAAAGUAUUUGGCACUUGUCUACGAGCAUAUGUCCGAAGGAAACCUCGAAGAUAAACUCAGAGGGAGAGAUGGCAACGCUGUACCCUUAGCCUAGAGGCAGAGGCUCCGUAUUGCACUGGAAUCCGCAGAAGGGCUCGACUAUCUCCACAAGGCAUGCAGCCCUCCCUUCGUGCAUCGUGAUGUGAAGACAUUAAACAUCCUACUGAAUGCUAAUCUUGAGGCCAAGGUUGCCUACUUUGGCUUGAUGAAGGCUUUCAAUCAUGACGAUGAUACCCACAUAUCCACAGCGCGGGUGAUUGGCACAAGAGGCUACCUCGCACCUGAGUAUGCAACAGCCCUACAAUUGAAUGCAAAGAGCGAUGUGUAUAGCUUUGGCAUUGUACUACUGGUGGUGAUAACAGGGUGCCCAGCCAUCCAACAAUCUGGUGAGAUCAUCCAUAUCAUCCAGUGGACACGACUACGCCUCACAGGAGGCAACAUCGAGGAAGUGGUAGACGCACACAUGCAAGGUGACUACAACAUCAAUGGUGUGUGGAAGGCCGUGGAUCUUGCGCUCAAGUGCACUGACCAUGCUCCCGCGCAACGUCCAACAAUGGCUAAUGUGGUGGCCCAGUUACAGCAUUGCCUCGAGCUAGAGGGUGAAGACCACACAGGCAAAAACCGUAACGGUAGCUUCUACAUGACAGCCGAUUGCAAUGGCGACCAUGGUCUACUAAUGUAA
rnacentral:rRNA from 1 species